rnacentral:lncRNA from 10 species
UUUUUGAAGCAACAAAAGCAGAUAUUUAUUGAAAAUGAAAGCACACUCCACUGGGUGUGAGCAAGCCUGAGCAAGCAGCUCAAGAGCGUGGUUAAAGAAUUUUCUGGGGUUUAAAUACCCUCUAGAGGUUUCCAUUGGUUACUUGGUGUAUGCCCUAUGUAAAUGAAGAGGAUAUUUCCUGUCAUAGCUGACGUGUUAACAUUUGAUUGAGUUCUAGGAAGUCCUUAGGUUUUCUGCCUCCAGGUCCUAUUCUCCUACCUCACUAAGUCUCUCUUUUCAGGGUUCUCCUCUGUCCCAGGACAGGUCCAGAAAUGUCAUCAAGGAGCGAAGACGCCAGUGUGGCUGAGCUGUUAACCCAAGCUCAAGAGAAAGUUUCCUUUACUCUUCUCUCUCCUUUGCCCAAGUGGAAGGGGUCUCUUCCCAUAGGCACCGCAGCUGGCUAUGUGCUGGUUCACACUUGAAGUCAGCAUGGUUUUGAGUGUCACCCAAGGCCCACAGUGAAUACUGCCCAGCUACCAUUGCUGCUUGUUGAGGGUCCAAGGGCACUUUAGUUAGCUCAUGAUGAAUUCUGCAAAAAUUGGGUCCUUUCCUUGAAGGCAGUGAGUUCCAUUCUGGCCCAGGAUGUAUUUCAAAAUGUCCUCCAGGAUUUAUUUUUAGAGCAGUUUUAGGUUUACAGCAAAAGUGAGCAGAAGGUUCAGGGAUUUGCAGUAUAGCCCCCGCCUGUCCCACACGUGCAUGCACGGCCUCUCCCACCACCUACAUCCAGUGCCACAGUGGUACAUUUAUUACAUUGACAAUACAUCAUCAUCACCAAAUACCAUAGUUUACAUUAGGCUUCACUCUUGACGUUGUACAUUCUAUGUGUUUGGAAUGACAUGUAUCCACCAUCAUAGUAUCAUACAGAAUAGUUCCACUGUCCUAAAAAUCUCUGUAAUCCACCAAGUCAGCCUUCCCUUUCCAUUAACACUAGGCAACCAUUGAUCUGUAUAUGGUCUCCAUAGUUUUGCCUUUUUCAGAAUGACCCUAUAGUUGAAAUCAUAUAUUAUGUAGCUUUUUCAGGUUGGCUUUUUUCACUUAAUAAUAUAUAUUUAAGGAUUGUUUGUCUUUUCAUGGAUUGAUAGGGCAUUUCUAUUUAAUGCUGAAAAAAUAUUCUGUAGUUUAAAGGUACGACAAUUUAUUUUACUAUUCACUUACUGAAGGACGUCUUGGCUGCUUCCAAGUUUUGACAACCAUGAAUAAAGCUGCUAUAAACAUCAAUGUACAGGUUUUUGUGUGAACAUAAGUUUUGAACUCAUUUAGGUAAAUUCCAAGAGGUACAAUUCAUGGGCCAUAUGCUAAGAGUAUCUUCAGCUUUCGAAGAAACUGCCGAACUGUCUUCCGAAGUGGCUACACAAUUUGCAUUUCCACCAACAUUGUGUAAUAGUUCUUGUUCCACAUCCUUGCCAGCAUUUGGUGUUUCCAGUGUUUUGCAUUUUGGUGAUCCUAACAGGUACAUUGUAGAGGUACCUCAUUGUUUUAAUUUGCAUUUCCCUAAUGACACAUGAUGUGAGAUUUUCUUAUGCUUAUUUGCCAAAUGUAUAUCUUCUUUGGUGAGAUAUAUGUUUGGGUGUUUUGCACAUUUUUUUAAUCAACUUAUUUUUUUAUUGUUGCUUUUGAACAAAUUUUUGUUUAUUUUGGAUAACAGUUUAAAAAAAAUCAUUUUGAAUUUCAAAUCUACAAACGGUCAAAAUAUCAUCCAAACAGGAAAAAAUAAAAUUAUGCUCAAUGAUUUAAAUACUGAAGAAUUUUAACACUUGUAGAACACAUCUGAAAGAAAACAAAAUAAAAUCAGUCAGCAAAAUAAAACUAAAUCCACAAAGUAAUAUGUAGGAUACAAGAAAGGAGUCAUAAAAAAG